UCAGCUGCGGUACGCAGUAACUAGGAAGUGGGAACCCAAGUACACAGGCAGUUCCUUUACAUAAACGAUUUGCUAGUGCCUCGGCAGUGCGGCUGCAGAACAGAGCCUGCAAGCGUGACGGACUGUUGCCUAAACCCGCUUCCUCUCGGUGACCGAAAGUCUCUUGUGCGCACGUUGCUUCCCUCCCCGCAACAGAGGAGUAAGUCCUGCAGCUUUACCGCUGUUUUUAUUUCCCGGUUCCGGUUCGGAUCCCCCCUCUCUUCCCUCGCCGCGUUUGGACGGAGUUGGACGGACACCUGCAGCAACGGUGGAGACCGUGUGUGUGUCGGAGGGUGGAUAAAGCGAUCUUCCGCUGGGGAGACGACCAGAUACAAGAAGCAGAGGCCAGGGAGUGUGGAUUCAGACGUUUUUUUAUUAUGACAAUAAUAAAAAAAUAAAUAAAAGGGCUUGGUAAAAGCUCAGAUAAAAAAGGGCACGCGAGCUUUAAAAGGACAUG